rnacentral:rRNA from 1 species
GACGAACCGUGCGAACGUUGUUCGGAAUCACUGGGCUUAAAGGGCGCGUAGGCGGGCUGCCAAGUUCGGGGUGAAAUCCUCCCGCUCAACGGGAGAACGGCCUCGAAUACUGGCGGUCUCGAGGGAGGUAGGGGCGUGCGGAACUAUGGGUGGAGCGGUGAAAUGCGUUGAUAUCCAUAGGAACUCCGGUGGCGAAGGCGGCAUCCUGGACCAUAACUGACGCUGAGGCGCGAAAGCUAGGGGAGCAAACGGG